rnacentral:tRNA from 1 species
GGAGGGCUGGCCGAGAGGUUGAAGGCGCUGGUCUUGAAAACCAGAAGGGGUAAAAAACCCCUCCAGGGUUCGAAUCCCUGGCCCUCCGCCA